rnacentral:rRNA from 1 species
GUUGAAUGCUAGCGGUGCGCCUAAUACAUGCAAGUCGAGCGAGGUUUCGAACCGAGCGGCGGACGGCUGAGUAACACGUUGGUACCUGCCCUAUACUCAGGGAUAACUAUUGGAAACGAUAGCUAAUACCGGAUAGUCCCGCAAGGGUAAAGAUUUAUCGGUAUAGGAGGGGCCUGCGGCUUAUCAGGUAGUUGGUAGUGUAAUGGACUACCAAGCCUAUGACGAGUAGCUGGUGUGAGAGCAUGACCAGCCAGAAUGGAACUGAGACACGGUCCAU